CUAAGAUGAGAUUGGUUAAGUCAAUGAGAUUUCAUGUCAGUGCUGCUUUAGUGACUAUCCGAGUAUUGAAAACAUGAAUAACAACUUGGUCAAAAGGAUUCUUCUACCACAACACUGCCCGGUGCGACCACAGAAGAGACUCCUGGCACCAUUGAACCCGUGGUGCUGACAACCGAGUCUCCUGACAUGACAGGGAAGCCUGGGUGGUGUCCUGUGCGAAAGUUGCCUCAUCCCCAUCAUGGCCGA